rnacentral:rRNA from 1 species
GAAGGGGAUAACACUUGGAAACAGGUGCUAAUACCGUAUAACAAUCAAAACCGCAUGGUUUUGAUUUGAAAGGCGCUUUCGGGUGUCGCUGAUGGAUGGACCCGCGGUGCAUUAGCUAGUUGGUGAGGUAACGGCUCACCAAGGCCACGAUGCAUAGCCGACCUGAGAGGGUGAUCGGCCACAUUGGGACUGAGACACGGCCCAAACUCCUACGGGAGGCAGCAGUAGGGAAUCUUCGGCAAUGGACGAAAGUCUGACCGAGCAACGCCGCGUGAGUGAAGAAGGUUUUCGGAUCGUAAAACUCUGUUGUUAGAGAAGAACAAGGAUGAGAGUAACUGUUCAUCCCUUGACGGUAUCUAACCAGAAAGCCACGGCUAACUACGUGCCAGCAGCCGCGGUAAUACGUAGGUGGCAAGCGUUGUCCGGAUUUAUUGGGCGUAAAGCGAGCGCAGGCGGUUUCUUAAGUCUGAUGUGAAAGCCCCCGGCUCAACCGGGGAGGGUCAUUGGAAACUGGGAGACUUGAGUGCAGAAGAGGAGAGUGGAAUUCCAUGUGUAGCGGUGAAAUGCGUAGAUAUAUGGAGGAACACCAGUGGCGAAGGCGGCUCUCUGGUCUGUAACUGACGCUGAGGCUCGAAAGCGUGGGGAGCAAACAGGAUUAGAUACCCUGGUAGUCCACGCCGUAAACGAUGAGUGCUAAGUGUUGGAGGGUUUCCGCCCUUCAGUGCUGCAGCUAACGCAUUAAGCACUCCGCCUGGGGAGUACGACCGCAAGGUUGAAACUCAAAGGAAUUGACGGGGGCCCGCACAAGCGGUGG